CUCCUGCCAGUCUCAUGUAUUAUUUGAAACUUCCAUAGCAUAUGGCAGCAGUCAGAGUAGAAGGAGCUGUGGAUUGGGAACCAGGCCAGGCUCUAAUUCUGCAUAAACCAAUAGUGUCUGAGCAUCUGUAUCCACAGUAUUUGUUGACUAAGUGACUGAUUGAAUGAAUGAAUACAUUGUCUUGGGUGAGAAACUUUUCUGAAUCUCCAUUUCUUUAUUCAUGGAAUAGGAUCAUUAUAGAAAGGUGAAGGUUGUUUUUGUUUUUGUUUUGUUUUGUUUUGUUUUUCUAAGAGUGGUCCUUGGAAUGCCUAUAUCAAAAUCGUUGGGGUUCUCAUUUAAUUGCUGAGUCCUGCCCUCCUAUCUGUAUCAGAAUUGCUGAAGGCCUGAGAAUGUUUAAUAUUGCAUCGCAGGUGAUUAUUAUGCUCAAUAAAAUUGAAUCACCAUUGAAUUAGUUGUUAAUUGUUCAAUGAAAGUAACAUGAUGGAAAUCCAAGUGUAAAACCUUGGAAUUAUAGAAAUGGGAAAUGCUCUGUGGAAGGUUAAUGGAAGAGAUCUCUUGGUUGGAAAAGUGAUAGGUAAUGGAAAGGACUUGAAGUACUCCAGGAACAUUAGGGUCAUCUGCCGGUAGAAAUACAAUGGGUCAGAGUAAUAGUGGUAUAUUUGAAUAUCAUCAAUUAUUCAUAUAUCUUUCCCUUUGUAGGUGAUAUUAUGCAUUAAAUACCUUGUUCAUUAGGCUAAGGGAAACAGUGGGGAUAUAGGAGGUGAUUUUUGCCACAUCAGCUCCCUGUAGACAUGGCCAUUAUUAUUGCUCAUGCUUGGUUGUGUUAGUUUCAGGAACAGAAACCAGAAUCUUGGGGAGGUAACUGAGUCCCAAUUUCCAAGGUACUUGACUGUCUUCUUACAAAUCUUGACUCUGCAUUGCCACUUUUUCAAUUACAGUCUAUGGAUUCUGUCUAUGGAUUCUGUUUUCCAGGAGAAUAACUUCUGAAUUUUAUAAAUGAAGUAAGAGAGAAUAAGAUUUUCUUUAUAAGAAUAUUUUUAGUAGAUAUCUUUGCUGUGGUGUACCAAAUCUAAGCAAAGGCUACAUGUUAUGUUACAGGUUUUUAGACUGAACAUCUCCUAAAGAUAUAAAAUUACCAGCUGUGAUGACUUUACUCAUGGCUAAAUCAGCCUUCAGCUUCAGAUGAAAUUUCUAGUCAUUAAAGAAAGAGCAGACUUGCUGUGAUUCUGAUUAAUUGUCAGAGACCUUCUGUAAGAAAAGCUGGCUUUUAUUUCUGAUUAUAUUACUGAGCCCCUCUGUGAUCUGAAGUAUGUUAAAGAGCUUUGGGAUAUCUAGGUUUCACAUUCUGUAAAAUGGAGAUAAAAAUAUAUUGCAUACAUCUUUCAGAAGCACCAUGAGGAUUAAUGAGAUAACGUUAGCAGGCAUAUUAAAGUCACCCAAUUUUUUUUUUGUAUUCAGACUUUUGAUUCAUUUCCUAAUACUAAAAAAAGGGUCAUGUAUUUAAAAAAAAAGAAACUAUGAAGGAUUAAGAUUAUAGUGAGCUGUAAUAGUAAUUUCCCAAAAAGAAUGAACAGAUGACAAGGAAGAUUAUUAAGCUCCUAUAUAUAUAAAUCUUCC
rnacentral:lncRNA from 1 species